rnacentral:antisense_RNA from 1 species
UCCACAUCGAUUUCCUUGACCUCGCCAGGAGAGAAGAUCAC